rnacentral:tRNA from 1 species
GGGCGGUUAGCUCAGUUGGUUAGAGCGUUCGGUUCACAUCCGAGAGGUCAUAGGUUCGAAUCCUAUACCGCCCA